GGCGGCAUGCCUUACACAUGCAAGUCGAACGGUAACAGGGAGCUUGCUCCGCUGACGAGUGGCGAACGGGUGAGUAAUAUAUCGGAACGUACCUUUGAGUGGGGGAUAACUAGUCGAAAGAUUAGCUAAUACCGCAUACGAUCUACGGAUGAAAGUGGGGGCUCGCAAGACCUCAUGCUCAUAGAGCGGCCGAUAUCUGAUUAGCUAGUUGGUGAGGUAAAGGCUCACCAAGGCAUCGAUCAGUAGCUGGUCUGAGAGGACGACCAGCCACACUGGGACUGAGACACGGCCCAGACUCCUACGGGAGGCAGCAGUGGGGAAUUUUGGACAAUGGGGGCAACCCUGAUCCAGCAAUGCCGCGUGAGUGAAGAAGGCCUUCGGGUUGUAAAGCUCUUUUGUCAGGGAAGAAACGGUGAGGGCUAAUAUCCCUUGCUAAUGACGGUACCUGAAGAAUAAGCACCGGCUAACUACGUGCCAGCAGCCGCGGUAAUACGUAGGGUGCAAGCGUUAAUCGGAAUUACUGGGCGUAAAGCGUGCGCAGGCGGUUGUGUAAGACAGGUGUGAAAUCCCCGGGCUUAACCUGGGAAUGGCAUUUGUGACUGCAC
rnacentral:rRNA from 1 species